UGGCAACUAAAUUACUAGCUGAGGAAAAAAUCUCAGCCUCCAGUCCUGUCUCCUUCUUUUACUUCAUUAGUGACAAAACCAACACCCAAACCAAGGCAGUGUGCAGCUCAAGCAGACAAGAGAGUAUCUUUUCUGGAUCUUGGUAAAAAUCGGAUGGCAGGCUCUGUUGAAAAUAACAUGGAACUUGCACAGAAGAUGGAGGCUUCAAGAGUUCCAAGUGUUUCAGAGCAUGUGGUACAUGAAGUUAAACAAGAAAGGCUAGCAGGUGA